rnacentral:rRNA from 1 species
GAUGAACGCUAGCUACAGGCUUAACACAUGCAAGUCGAGGGGCAGCAUGAAGUCAGCUUGCUGACUUUGAUGGCGACCGGCGCACGGGUGAGUAACGCGUAUCCAACCUUCCCCUUACUCAGGAAUAGCCCGUUGAAAGACGGAUUAAUGCCUGAUGUUCUCUGUUUCCGGCAUCGGUAAUAGAGCAAAGAUUCAUCGGUAAGGGAUGGGGAUGCGUAUGAUUAGCUUGUUGCGGGGUAACGGCCCACCAAGGCAACGAUCAUUAGGGGUUCUGAGAGGAAGGUCCCCCCANACUGGAACUGAGACACGGUCCAGACUCCUACGGGAGGCAGCAGUGAGGAAUAUUGGUCAAUGGAGGCAACUCUGAACCAGCCAAGUAGCGUGCAGGACGACGG